rnacentral:lncRNA from 1 species
CUGUGACUCAGUUUGCACUUGAAAAAUCUUGGCUCUUUUCAGCUAGUCCCUCUCCUAUAGUUAUAGCUCCGGCAAAAAACUAGUGACCACUUCUUGCCCAUUUGGCCCAGGGUGGUAACAGCUCCCCUUUGUUGCCAGUCCUAGUGUGUGUCACUAAUAAGUUCCCUAAAUCCUUUCAAAAGCACUAUGCAAUUUCCCCUUUUCAGAGUAUCAUCUGCAUUUCUUGCUGAGGUGCUGACAGAUGCAGUGACUGAUGAUAACUCUGGUGGUGAUAGCAGUGGUGAUGAUUUUUCUCUUAGAUGGGAGUCUGGAAAUCCUAAUGAGCAACUCUCUGCAGAGAGGCUACAGAAUUGAGGCAGAGAUUAGCAAGGUGCCCAUUGUCUCACUUGUCUAUUACUGUGUAAUAAGUUGUUCCAAAACUUGUUAGCCUAAAUCAAUGUUAAUGAUUUAUUAUUUCUUAUCCUUGUGUAGGUCAGAAAUUUAACAAUUUCUUCUUCCUUCCACUCCACAUAUUAGUGAGCAGUCAAGUCACUAUGGGAAAGAGAAGAAAAUCUUAGGACUCCCAAGGUCAUGAAUUGAUGAGCUCUCUGACUAUAUUCAAAAGGGGAUUGCCCAGAAGAAACUUUCAACAGGGAAAGGAGACUAUUUAUAGAAUGAGAGAAAAUAUUUGCAAGCUAUGUAUCCGACAAAGGUCUAACAUCCAGAAUCUAUUAGGAACCUUAACAAAUAUACAAGCAAAAAGCAAGCAACCUCAUUAUAAAGUGGGCAAAGAACAUGAACAGAAACUUUUCAAAAGAAGACAUACACGUGGACAACAAGCAUAUGAAAAAAUGCUCAAUAUCACUAAACAUUAGAGAAAUGCAAAUCAAAACCACAAUGAGAUACCAUCUCACACCAGUCAAAAUGUCUGCCAUUAAAAAGUGAAAAAAUAACAGAUGCCGGUAAAGUUCUGGAGAAAGGGAACUCUUAUACACUGUUGGUUGGAAUGUAAAUUAGUUCAGUCAUUGUGGAAACUAGUUUGGUGAUUUCUCAAAUAACUUAAAACAGAAUUACCAUCCAACUCAGAAAUCCCUUUAUUGGGUAUACACCUAAAGGAAUAUAAAUCAUUCUACCAUAAAGACACAUGUAUGCAUAUGUUCAUUGUAGCACUAUUCACAAUA